CAACCAAUCAAGCCUCGGCUUGGUCUUGGGGUUUGCGGUCCCGCAUCCCCUAAACUUAGUGGCGGUGCGAUUGAGCUCUGAGCGUAGUAAUUUUUCUCGCUAUAGGGUCUCGGUCGUGACUUGCCAGCAACCCCCAAUUUUUUAUCA
rnacentral:misc_RNA from 1 species